rnacentral:rRNA from 1 species
GAUGAACGCUAGCGGCAGGCUUAAUACAUGCAAGUCGAGGGGCAGCAGUCCCGCAGCAAUGCGGGAGCUGGCGACCGGCAAACGGGUGCGGAACACGUACGCAACCUACCCAAAACUGAGGAAUAGCCCGGGGAAACCCGGAUUAAUACUUCGUAACAUAAUUGAAUGGCAUCAUUUAAUUAUUAUAGCUCCGGCGGUUUUGGAUGGGCGUGCGCCUGAUUAGGUAGUUGGCGGGGAACGGCCCACCAAGCCUACGAUCAGUAACUGGUGUGAGAGCACGACCAGUCACACGGGCACUGAGACACGGGCCCGACUCCUACGGGAGGCAGCAGUAAGGAAUAUUGGUCAAUGGACGCAAGUCUGAACCAGCCAUGCCGCGUGAAGGAUGAAGGU